rnacentral:rRNA from 1 species
UACGUAGGGUGCAAGCGUUAAUCGGAAUUACUGGGCGUAAAGCGUGCGCAGGCGGCUUUGCAAGACAGAUGUGAAAUCCCCGGGCUUAACCUGGGAACUGCAUUUGUGACUGCAUGGCUGGAGUGCGGCAGAGGGGGAUGGAAUUCCGCGUGUAGCAGUGAAAUGCGUAGAUAUGCGGAGGAACACCGAUGGCGAAGGCAAUCCCCUUGGCCUGCACUGACGCUCAUGCACGAAAGCGUGGGGAGCAAACAGG